GACGUGGUAACACUUGUUGAUGAUGAAGAUCUGCAUGAUGUGAUGAGACAGCGCUUGAAGUUCUUGAGGAUUACCGUGCUGCUAAAUAUUGAAAAGGAUGGUAGGUCUCACACUCGGUCAAGUGGAAGUUCUACUCCCAUGAGAUCACCUUUUAACCUGCGCCCAUUUCAAGAUGGCAAUGCUGGUGUUGCUCCCAUGAGAUCACCUUUUGACCUGCGCCCAUUUCAAGAUGGCAAUGCUGGUGUUGCUCCCAUGAGACCACCUUUUGACCUGCGCCCAUUUCAAGAUGGCAAUGCUGGUGUUGCUGAAUUUAUUAAAUCAGUACCAGAGCCACUACUUGAAGCAUUUUCGAAACUAUCAACAGAUUUUACUUCUAAAGCUGCAUCCUCUGCUCCAGUGCUUUCUGAGGUUCUUACCUGCCU
rnacentral:lncRNA from 1 species